rnacentral:tRNA from 1 species
UGGGGAAUCGUCUAAUGGCAGGACUCAUCUCUUUGGAAGAUGCUAUCGGGGUUCGAAUCCCUGUUCCCCAG